rnacentral:rRNA from 1 species
ACUCCUACGGGUGGCUGCAGUGAGGAAUAUUGGUCAAUGGGCGAGAGCCUGAACCAGCCAAGUCGCGUGAAGGAUGACUGUCUUAUGGAUUGUAAACUUCUUUUAUACGGGAAUAACAAGAGUCACGUGUGACUCCCUGCAUGUACCGUAUGAAUAAGCAUCGGCUAACUCCGUGCCAGCAGCCGCGGUAAUACGGAGGAUGCGAGCGUUAUCCGGAUUUAUUGGGUUUAAAGGGUGCGUAGGCGGCCUGUUAAGUCAGCGGUGAAAUCUWAGGAGCUUAACUCCUAAAUUGCCAUUGAAACUGGCGGGCUUGAGUGUAGAUGAGGUAGGCGGAAUGCGUGGUGUAGCGGUGGAAUGCAUAGAUAUCACGCAGAACUCCAAUUGCGAAGGCAGCUUACUAAGGUACAACUGACGCUGAAGCACGAAAGCGUGGGUAUCAAACAGGAUUAGAUACCCUGGUAGUCCACGCAGUAAACGAUGAUAACUGGGCGUAUGCGAUAUACAGUAUGCUCCUAAGCGAAAGCGUUAAGUUAUCCACCUGGGGAGUACGCCGGCAACGGUGAAACUCAAAGGAAUUGACGGGGGCCCGCACAAGCGGAGGAACAUGUGGUUUAAUUCGAUGAUACGCGAGGAACCUUACCCGGGAUUGAAAUGUAGAUGACCGCCGGUGAAAGUCGGCUUUCCUUCGGGACAUCUAUGUAGGUGAUGCAUGGUUGUCGUCGUG